GGACAGCAAAUGAAGCACAAUCCACUUUCCACUGUGAGGAAGGCUUUGAGCUAGACGGGCUAUCGAUGGGCAGGAUAUCAGUACUGGACUGUCCAACCUGCCAGCUUCAAGAAAGGACAGAGACAAGAACAGAGCAGCAUUCAGGGACCACCACACAUGAGCCUGUUCCUGCAACAUUCAGCAUCUGAUCCUUGUUCGUCUGUGUGCUUCUGUGUUUGUGUCAAAUGUCAAACAGCUGGAAAGGAAACUACACGAGUGCACUGGGAUGUUUCCCCAACUCGUGCCAGACGCUGUUCCUGCCUGUGAAGGUAACAUCACCAGAGACAGCCCGCCUACCUCAGGACCUCGCCAAGUCACGUAUUAAUCACGGUGAUUAUGAAGAUGACAGCAAGCGGAAGACUGUAAAAAUCCACCACCAGAAUGUUUAGAUGCUUUCUAAUUAUUAAUGAAUAUCGUGUUCGUGUGGUUUGGGUUUUGUUUUUUUGGCCUCAUUUGUUACUAACAAAGGUCUCCAAGCUCAGUUUACAUUCUGUAUGUGUUUCACCUUUAGCAGCCACACUCUGACUGCAAUUAAAAAAACACAAACUUAGAAAUAUUGAAGGGGUUCAGGUAGAGCCGGCUUAUGAAUUACUAUGAGCACUUACCAUACUGUACCUGUACAACAUGUUUUUGUAUGAGACAGAUUUGUAGCAGAGGCCUUAGUCUCAGUAAGCCUGAAGUCCUUUCCUGAAUAAUUUUGCAAUCUCUGCUCUUUCAAUGACAAUAAUUCAGUGCUGCUUCCCUUUGUCCCCUCCCACAUCACCUUGUUACAUUUUUCAGUGUCCAGUUUUUUUUUUUUUUGUUUUUUUACUUCUGUUUGAAUUCAUUGUGUGCUUGAGCCUGCAGACUGUUUGAUGGGCUCCUUGUCUUGUAACCGCUGCCUGUUUUUGACUAAAGAUUUGGACUUUUGACUUUAAUACAUCCUCUGCAUGUC